UUGGAGGGCAAGUCUGGUGCCAGCAGCCGCGGUAAUUCCAGCUCCAAUAGCGUAUAUUAAAGUUGUUGCAGUUAAAAAGCUCGUAGUUGAAUUUCGGGAUCAAAGAAUCGGUCAUGCCUUGGUAUGUACUGGUUUUAUUGGUUCUCACCUUCUAAAGAGCCAUAAUGUCAUUCAUUUGAUGUUAUGGGGAAUUAGGACUGUUACCUUGAAAAAAUUAGAGUGUUUAAAGCAGGCUUACGCUUGAAUACAUUAGCAUGGAAUAAUGAAAUAGGACAUCAGAUUCUAUUUUGUUGGUUUCUAGGAUCGAUGUAAUGAUUAAUAGGGAUAGUUGGGGGCAUUAGUAUUCAAUUGUCAGAGGUGAAAUUCUUGGAUUUAUUGAAGACUAACUACUGCGAAAGCAUUUGCCAAGGAUGUUUUCAUUAAUCAAGAACGAAAGUUAGGGGAUCGAAGACGAUCAGAUACCGUCGUAGUCUUAACCAUAAACUAUGCCGACUAGGGAUCGGAUGAUGUUAAUUUUAUAAUGACUCAUUCGGCACCUUACGGGAAAC
rnacentral:rRNA from 1 species